rnacentral:hammerhead_ribozyme from 1 species
AUCCACCUGACGAGUCUCGAACAGGACGAAACGCGUGUUCUGGAU